GACGAACGCUGGCGGCGUGCUUAACACAUGCAAGUCGAACGGAAAGGCCCUGCUUUUGUGGGGUGCUUGAGUGGCGAACGGGUGAGAAACACGUGAGUAACCCGCCCUUGACUUUGGGAUAACUUCAGGAAACUGGGGCUAAUACCGGAUAGGAGCUCCUGCUGCAUGGUGGGGGUUGGAAAGUUUCGGCGGUUGGGGAUGGACUCGCGGCUUACCGGCUUGUUGGUGGGGUAGUGGCUUACCAAGGCUUUGACGGGUAGCCGGCCUGGGAGGGUGACCGGCCACAUUGGGACUGAGAUACGGCCCAGACUCCUACGGGAGGCAGCGGUGGGAAAUAUUGCACAAUGGGCGGAAGCCUGAUGCGGCAACGCCGCGUGCGGGAUAACGGCCUUCGGGUUGUAAACCGCUUUCGCCGGUGACGAGGCGUGAGUGACGGUAAUGGGUAAAGAAGCACCGGCUAACUACGUG
rnacentral:rRNA from 1 species